GAUGAACGCUGGCGGCGUGCCUAAUACAUGCAAGUCGAGCGAACGGACUAGAAGCUUGCUUCUCUGAUGUUAGCGGCGGACGGGUGAGUAACACGUGGAUAACCUACCUAUAAGACUGGGAUAACUUCGGGAAACCGUAGCUAAUACCGGAUAAUAUUUUGAACCGCAUGGUUCAAAAGUGAAAGACGGUCUUGCUGUCACUUAUAGAUGGAUCCGCGCUGCAUUAGCUAGUUGGUAAGGUAACGGCUUACCAAGGCAACGAUGCAUAGCCGACCUGAGAGGGGGGUCGGCCCCACUGAAACUAGGACCCGGCCCAGACCCCUACGGGGGGCAGCAGUAGGGAAUCUUCCGCAAGGGGGGAAAGCCUGACGGAGCAACGCCGGGGUGGGGAUGAAGGUCUUCGGAUCGUAAAACCUUUUUAUUGGGGAAAAACAAAUGUGAAAGUAACUGUGCACAUCUUGACGGUACCGAAUCAGAAAGCCACGGCUAAUUACGU
rnacentral:rRNA from 1 species